GUUGAGGGUUGCACGUACCCCAGCCACACGAAUGCAGGUCUCGGUCGUGUCGUGUGAACCGAUCGCGUGUUGAUGUUUCCCGAAUCCCGUUCCAUCUUCUGUUCCGCCGCCAGCCUGCGCCCUCGAACCCUGCUGCUGGCUUCAGCUUCCUGCUAAUGUGCACCCUGGGGGCAGCAGGUGAUGACUCAGGCACUUGGAUCCUUGCCACCCACAUGGAGAUCUGGAUUGAGUUCCUGGCUCCUGGCUUCAGCCUGGCAGUCCUGGCUAUUGUAGGCAUUUGAAGAGGUCUCUGUCUUUCUUUCAAAUAAAAUAAAUAUUUUAAAACCUGUUAAAAGUAUUUUGUUUGAUUUCCCUUCUCUAACACCCACUUCCAACCAGAGUAUUUUAAAGCAAACCUCAGACAUUGUUUCAUCCAAGGACCUCAGUGUGUGUUUCUAAAAGAUGAGUACAUUUUUAGAUAUGAUCACAAGACCAUAUCACACCUAGCAAAAUCAAUAACAAUUUCUUAUGUUGUCCCCACUCUCCUGGACAUGCAUCACCCUGAAAGUGGUGGCUAAAUCAGUUCGCCAUGGAAAGGUUUUACUGUGAUACAAAAAGUUCUCCUGGCAAAACAAAAAAACCUCCCCCUUCCCAGCUUGCUCAGUGCCCAGAAAUUCUUCACAGGAGGUACACUUAUUUUCUGUUUCAGGUUCAUAUCUUAGAACACACAUGGCUGAUUUAAGUAACAUUUUCAAACAAGUGUGUUCUUUUAAUUUAGGGGGAGGCUGUAAUGAUUCAACAGGUGUGAGAGAGAUUGUUUUAGCGUAGAUGAAGGAAGAGUUCAGGAAGCAUUUGGCUUUGUUUCAAAGAUCAGGGAAGAGAUGAAGGGCCUUGCAGGAGGGGAGGGGGUUGCAGAGGCAGGUUUGUUGCUUGCAGUUUUUCUGUUUGUCCCCAGAGCGCAGUGAGUUUGUCCGCAGUCCUGAGGUGAUCAGUCCCGAGGGUUUGCAAGUUCCUUUUUUCUUGCAACUUACAGGAAAAAUUUUAAGCAGUUGACUUAACUAUAAAAGAGGCAUCUAUCAGUAGCCAUCCCUGUAAUAGUUGAUGAUCCUUCUGCAACACUGUAGCAUUGUGCAAUUAAUGAUCUAUUUUCAGCUGUAAUAGGCAUGUAUGAGCACCUAAUCACUGUGUUCAGCUUUGUUCAUGUAGCAACUGAGAUUCUCUUGCUUGUAAAGAAAAGAACUCAUAAGAUUUGCCAGUACAGUAGGAUGUUAUUCAGCAAUAAAGCAAAAUGGAGAACUGAUCCAUACCACUGUGUGGAUGAACCGUGAAGGCAUGAAACAAAUGAAAGAAGCCGAUCACAGAACAUUACACACCAUAUGAUUCCAUUUACAUGAAGGGUCCAGCAUGGGCAAAUCUGUAAAUAUAGAAAAUAGACUGGUGCUUGCCAUGGGCUGGGGAGAUGGGGAGUGAUGUUCACCAGUAGGAGGUUUUUGGGGGAGGAAGGGGAUGGAGAUGUUCUAAAAUGGAUAGUGGUUAUGGUCGCACAGCUCAGAGGAUUCUGAAAGCCACUGGAUGGGCCACUUUGAGUGAGCAGAUUGCAUGGUAGGUGAAUUUCAUUCUAGCUGUGGAAGAGUUCUUUCCAUGGCCGUGUCAUCCUCCUGUCUGCCCUUUGCAGCAGUCCGCCCCGAUGCCAGCUUUUUGGUACAGGGGAGUGGUGCAUGGGCCUUGUCUGUGCAGCCUCUGUGUGGGCCAGGAGGGCUCAGGGCCUGUCUGAAACACAGAGCCAGCGUUUACCUGGCCAGCCAGCUUUUCAGAACAGGCCAAUUUCCAAUUGUUGUUUUGUUUUUUGAAAACUUAGCUGGCAAAUAGCACUUCUGAGAUGAGCCAACUAUUGCAGUGCGUUGAACACAGUAGAAUCCUGCCUCUGAUCUCAUUGGAUAUAUAUAUAUCCUGUGGAUAUAUUAGCCUGAUUCAAUCAUAAUUAGUUAUGAUUUAUUUAUUUAUUUGAAAUGUGGAGUUACAGAGAUGGAGAGGCAGAGGAAGACAGAUGGAAGACUUCCAUCUCUGGGUUCACUUCCCAAAUGGCCGCAUGGCCAGGGCUGGGCCAGACCAAAGCAAGGAGUGAGGAGCUUCUUCUAGGUCUCCCUCCGCUGCUUUCCUAGGCACAUUAGCAGGGAACUGGAUGGGAGGUGAAGCCCAUGUGGGAUGAGAGCGUCGCAGGCAGUGGCUUUCCCCAGUGUACCACUGUGCUGGCCCCUGAGGUGGUAUUUUUAUUCCAUGCCCCUUAUGAUGUGUACUACUUAUGACCUGGAUAUGGUCAAAAUAACACCUGCAUUUGUCUGUUUUUAGCAGUUUGUUUUCUACAAAUUAAGAUCUACUUUGUUUAGGAUUUACUCGCGGUUUUGAAUGAGGCUGAUAACACAGCAGCCCUGUAAUUUGUUGGUUUUAGUUUUGAAUACCUUAUUCUGUCUCACUAUCAUUAAGUCCUGGAAGAAUGAAAGUUUAAGACAAUUUAGGGUAAUUCUCUAAACUUGGAUUAUACACAUUUUCCAUUCUAGUCAUCCCGCCUACGUGCCCUGUUGCCUACGAGAAGUUGGUGCAGUUCUUACGGGUUUUGAAGUCUGAGAUACUUAGAGCUUUUGAAGAUUUUCAGGCCCUUUAGACUGCAAAAGUUUUAAAUUUCUUGAGGUGUUCUCUAAAAAAAUAUUCAGUUAUCUUUAAUGAGUGAUAGAUGGUGUGUUCUAAUUGGGGUGUUGGUGUUUGUUCAACUUUUUUUUAAGAUUUAAUUUUAUUUAUUGAAAGGCAAAGUGACAAAAUCUCCCAUCUACUGGUUUACUCCGUAAAUGCUCCCAACAGCCAGGGCUGGGCAAGACUGCAAUGUACAGCUAGGAACUCCAUUUGGGUCUCCCAUGUGAGUGACAAGAACCCAAGUACUUGGACCAUCAUCUGUUGCCUCCUGGAUGUGUUAACAGUUAACUGGAUCAGAAGUGUGGAGCAGCAGGGACUUGAACCAGGAACUUCAGUAGGGGAUGCAGGCAUCUCUAGCAAGAGUUUAACCUACUGUACCACAGUGCCUGCCUCUUGUUUAACAUUUCUGAUACCUUAUUCUUUACAUUCAUGGGUUUCAAAAUUUUUCUUACACCACAGUGCCCUUACUGGGGUGGAUAAUUUGGCCAUGCAGUUAAGACACCAGUUAAGAUGCCUGUGUUCCAUAUCAUAGUACUCGGGGUCAACACUUAGCUCUGGCUGCUAACUCCAGUUUCCUGCUAAUGCAGACCCCGGGAGGCAGUGGCGAUGGCUCAAGAGUCUGAGUCCCUGCUACCCAAGUGGGAGACUUGGAUUGUGUUCCCAGCUUCCAACUGCAGCCCAGUCCUGGCCGUUUCAAGUAUUUGGGGAGUGAACCAGCCAAUAGGAGCUGUCUGUCUCUCUAGAAAACAAUGAAGCAAAAAAAACCCCACAAAGUUAUGGGUUUAGAAAAUCAGGAUAUUCUAACAUGAAUAUAUUUAAAUAACUUAAAGUAUUAGUAGAUGAAUUUUCUUUUGAAAUAAAUAGUUCCUUUUUUUUUUUUUUUGUCAACUGGGUAUUUAUUUAGAUGUGAUCAUGGUAUUAUGUCUUUUUUUUCUGUGUAUGUGUGGCCUAAAACACAUAAAAUCACCAUCUUAACCAUUUUUAAGUGUGCUGUACAGGAGCUUUUGCUAUGAGCACCUUGUUGUGCAGCCAAUCUCUGGAACUCUUUCCUAUUGCAAAGUUGAAACCCUACCCAUUGAAUAACGGCUCCCCAUUUCCUCUUCCGCCAGCCCUUGAGAACCACAUUCUGCUUUCUGUUAGUUUUAGAUCCGUCAUAAAAGUGAAGUCAUGCUGUGUUUGUCUUUUUUGUGACUGCCUUAUUUCACUUAGCAUGGUGUCUCAGUGUUCAUUCAUGAUGUAGAGUAUGACAGGAUUGCCUUCUUUUUUUAAGGUUGAAUAAUAUCCCAUCGUAUGCAUAUAGCACAUUUUCUGAAUCUGUUCAUCAGUCAGUGGACUGAUCCCAUCUUUUGGCUAUUGGGAAUAAUGCUGUAAUGAACAUGGGAGUGCAAAUAUUUCUUUGUAAUCUUGCUUCGAAUUCUUUUGUAUACCCAGAAUGGGAUUCCUGGAUCAACUGGUAAUUCUAUUUUUAAGUUUUUGAUGAACCUUCAUUCUAUUUUCCAUAGUGGUUGUAUUUUUUUAUUUUUAUUUUUUAUUUUUUUUACAUUCCCAACAAUGUUACAGGAGUUCCAGCGUUCCAGUUUUUUCACAUCCUUGCCAGCGCGUGUUAUCUUUCUGAUUUGUUGAGAGUGGCCAUUUUAACAGAUGUGAGGUGAUAUUGUAGUUUUGAUUUCAUUUCCCUGAUGAUUAGUGAUGUUGUACAUAUUUUCAUGUACUCUUGGCUAUUUGUAUAUCUUCUUUGGAGAAAGCUCCUUCUUAUUGUUUCAGAUUGUUAUUUAUUGAAUAGGAUUAUGGGCUGUUGUAAGUGGAGUUCCCCUUUCUUUCCCAAGAACAGAGUAAUCAUAUUUUAGGACUUUUUUUUAAAGAUUUUAAUUUUUUAAAAAAUUUAUUUGAGAGGUAGAGUUACAGACAAUGAGAGGGAGAGACAGAAAGGUCUUCCUUCUGUUGGUUCACUUCCAAAAUGGCUGCCAUGGCCAGAGCUGCACUGAUCCAAAGCCAGGAACCAGGUGCUUCUUCCUGGUCUCCCAUGGGGUGCAGGGCCCAAGCACUUGGACCAUCCUCCACUGCACUCCCUGGCCACAGCAGAGAGCUGGCCUGGAAGAGGGGCAACCGGGACAGAAUCCGGCACCCAGACCAGCACUAGAACCUGGUGUGCCGGCGCUGCAAGGCAGAGGAUUAGCCUAGUGAGCCACGGCGCCGGCCAGGACUUUUUUUAAAACAAGAUUUAUUUACUUAUUUGAAAGGCAGAGCAACAGAGAGAAUGGGAGAGACAGAGAAAGAGAGACUUUCCAAAUGGCUGCAACAGUCAGGUCAGGGUUGGGCUGAAGCCAGGAGCCAGAACUCCAUUGUCGUCUCCCACAUGGGUGGCUGAACCUGAACUUCCAGUAUGGGAUGCCCAUGUCACAAGUGGUGGCCUAACCUGCUGUGCCCACAACACUGGCCUCCAGACUUCUUGCAAGAGAUUUUUUAGUGUACUAAUAACCUUCUGAACUAAUAAUUAGUACAUCUAUUUUAGAUAUAAGUAGUAUCAGAAUCUUGGACUGUUAGAUUUUUAGAGCUGGCACCACAAGCUUUACUCCCUGUCCUCCAUUGCUUGAAUAUUAGUACUUCAUAUCUACUUUAAAUUUUUUAAAGAUUUAUUUAUUUAUUUGAGAGUCAGAGUUGCACAGAGAGAGGAGAGGCGGAGAAAGAGAGAGAGAGAGGUCUUCCACCCGCUGGUUCACUCCCCAAUCGGCUGGAGCUGAGCUGAUCCGAAGCCAGGAGCCAGGAGCUUCUUCUGGGUCUCCCACGUGGGUGCAGGGGCCCAAGGACUUGGGCUUUCUUCUACUGCUUUCCCAGGCCAUAGCAGAGAGCUGGAUUGGAAGUGGAGCAGCUAGGUCUCGAACCGGCGCCCAUAUGGGAUACCGGCGCUUCAGGCCAGGGUGUUAACCCACUGCGCCACAGCGCUGGUCCCUAUUUACUUUAAUUUUAAAAGAUUGAUCAAUAUGCCAAGUUACAUAUCCUAUAUAUGUAUGUGUAUAUAUUAUUGGAUCCUAUAUAUUUGUAUAUAUAUAUAUUUAUAAUUUACUUGAGAGGUAGAGUUACAGAGAGAGGGAAAAACAGAAAGAAAGGUCUUCCAUCUGCUGAUUCACUUCCCAAUUGGCCGCAAUGGCUGGAGCUGAGCCCAUCCGAAGCCAGGAGCCAGGAGCUUCUUCCGGGUCUCCCACAUGGGUGCAGGGGCCCGAGCACUUGGACCAUCUUUUACUGCUUUUCCAGACCAUUAACGGAGAGCUGGAUUGGAAGAGGAGCAGAUGGGACAAGAGCCAGUGCUCAAAUUGGGUACUGGCACCACAGGUGGAGACUCAGUGUACUUCACCACAGCGCCAGCCCUGGAUCCUUUGUAUUUUUAAACAGGCAUAAAUGAUUUUUUUAAGAUAAUGGGGAAAUUUGAAAAUGAACUGUGUGUCAUAUAGUACUAUUAUAUCAUUGUAAAAUUGUGCUAUUUGAUAUAAAGUGCUUGUUUUUAGGAGAUAUAAACUGAACUUGAACUCUGUAGGAAGAGGCUUAGUCUACUAUGCCACAGCACCAACCUCGCAUUCUCCCUCUACUGCUACCUGCACCACCAUCGUAUUGUCUUAGUCACCAUCACCUUGAUUGAGGCCCUUGCCACCCUUAUUUUUUCCUCUGUCAGCCCCUCCUGGCUUCCUUGCUUUCCCCAUUCACAUGGCUCCCAGGAUACCUCAUUUCAGCUCCUCCCUGUUGCUCACCUGCCACCUCCUUGCAUUUCUCUCCUUCCUUCGUUGCUACUCAGAUACCCCCCCCCCCCACACACACACUUUCUUCCACCUGUCCCUCCUCCUCUAUUCCUGCUUUUCCCAGGGCUCCAACCUUCUCCUACUUCUCGUCUUGUAUAGUCUCGGGGUCGUUCUAUCUCUUCGCUUGUCUUCUAUUCCAAUCCAAAUAGAAGUGAGCUUCAACCCUGUGUUACCAGCCCGUGCCUCUCCAUCUGCUCAUUCACUCCCCAAAUGGCUGCAGCAGUCAGGGCUGGGCCAGGCUAAAGCCAAGAGCCAGGAGAUUCAUCCUGGUCUCCAGGAUGAACUUGGGCCAUCUUCUGCUGCGUUCACAGGCGCAUUAGCAGGGUGCUGGAUUGGAAGUGGAGCAGCUAGGACUUGAACCAGCAUCCAUAUUGAAUGCUCGUGUCACUACCGCCAAUGCUGGCCCCUCAAAAUUAUCAACAUAUUUUCAUUUAGGUUCAAGUUUUGUGUAAAUUACCUUGUAUAUACAACAGAUUAGUAUAGUCAUACAUUUUUUUUAAAUUAUUUUUUAUUUUUUGACAGGCAGAGUGGACAGUGAGAGAGAGAGACAGAGAGAAAGGUCUUCCUUUGCCAUUGGUUCACCCUCCAAUGGCCGCCACGGCUGGCGCGCUGCGGCCGGCACACCGCGCUGAUCCGAUGGCAGGAGCCAGGAGCCAGGUGCUUUUCCUGGUCUCCCAUGGGGUGCAGGGCCCAAGCACCUGGGCCAUCCUCCACUGCACUCCCUGGCCACAGCAGAGAGCUGGCCUGGAAGAGGGGCAACCGGGACAGAAUCCGGCGCCCCGACCGGGACUAGAACCCGGUGUGCCGGCACCGCAAGGCGGAGGAUUAGCCUAGUGAGCCGCGGCGCCGGCCUUAUAGUCAUACAUUUUUUAAAAAUUUCAUAGUGUAUUUCUUUUUUUUUUUUUUUUUAAGAUUUAUUUAUUUAUUUGAAAGGCAGAGUUACACAGAGUGAGAAGGAGAGAGAGAGAGAGAGAGAGGUCUUCCAUCUGCUGGUUCACUCCCCAAUUGGCCGCAACAGCCAGAGCUGCGCCGAUCUGAAGCCAGGAGCCAGGAGCUUCUUCUAGGUCUGCCAUGUGGGUGCAGGGCCCCAAGGACUUGGGCCAUCUUCUACUGCUUUCCCAGGCCAUAGUAGAGAGCUGGAUUGGAAGUGGAGCAGCUGGGUCUCGAACUGGCGCCCAUAUGGGAUGCCGGUGCUUUAGGCCAGGGUGUUAACCCACUGCACCACAGCGCCAGCCCCUAGUCAUACAUUUAUUUAGGAUAUAAAUAAGCAAAAUGCUUAAGUUAGGAAUUUAUGCUUGGAAAUAUUUUCCUGAUAGAGUUGUGCCAUCAAAACAUUUGGGGAGUGAGCCUGUGGUACAGAUGGUUGAGCUGCCUUUUGGGAUGCCCACAUCCCAUAUCAGAGUUGGCUGCUUCAGUCGCAAUCCAGCUCCCUGCAAAGACACCUUUAAGGCAGCAAUUGAUGGUCCAGGUACUUGGACCCCUGCCCCUCCCCUCAGAGACCCAGCUGCAGUUCCUGGUUCCUGGCUUUGUCCUGGCGCAGCCCUGGCUAUUGGGGUCAUCUGGGGAAUGAACCAAUGGAUGUUCUUGUCUCUCCCCCUCUCUCUGUUAUUCUGCCUUUCAAAUAAAUAUUUUUAAAUGUUUAGAGACCAUGCUCUAAUGCUUUCCCAGUAUUUCUCAUUAAAAAUGAGUAUUUUCUCUCACUACAGUCAUCUCAUCUCUCUUCCAGAGUUUGAUAGCUGUAUUUUUGAUUUUGCUUCCUCUGUUGCUGACCUUGGUAGCUUCAGAAAAUAAUGAUUCUCUGUUACUUCACCAGCUUUGGUGGGUCUGUCUUGGCUCCCCCUGUGUAAGGAGGCACGUUGGAACACGUGCUCCUUUUCCACCUGCUUGUCGGGCUCUCUUACUUCCCACUUCCGUCAGCUAUGCUUUUACAUUGUCAAAGUUGAUAACAUCCACACUUUGUCCUGUUACCACAUCCAAGUCUCCAAAUAAGUUGAAUCUAAAGGAUGAAAACUAUAAAUAGGAUCCUGUCAUUACUGCUUGUUAGCUCUGCCGUAAAGAAAAAUCUCCCUUAUGAACCUGAGACCCCUGAUGGCAGCUUGUAGCUUUUCCCCUCUGUCAUAGGAAGCAAGUAGAAUUAAGAGAGCUCAACAAUUGCCUCUUGUUAUUAAGCACAUUACUGCAAGGAUUUGUCCUUCCCAGAAGCUAAACUGUGUUUCUGCCAGUAGGGAAAAAAACACGUGAUGUUUGCAAAUUCCCUAUAAAAAGUCCCUUUCUAUUAAGAAAUCAUGCUGCUUUGCUUUCUGGUACUUCUGAUAAAGUAUAGUAAUAUCAAACCUAGCAUUUGGGAUCCUCAUUGAAAUAUCUAACUUAUGUUUUAAGGUCAUGCUGGGCCACAACUUCUCCCUUGAGCUGUCAUUACAGUUGGCCCUCCUUCCUAUGGGUUCCACAUUCACACAUUCAACCAACCACAGACUGAAAAUACUCAGAAAAAAUAUUUCACGUGUGCUGAACAUGUACAGACUUUUUUCUUGUCAUUAUUUCCUAAACAAAUAGUAUAACAACCAUUUACAUAGCUUUUGCAUUGUGUUGUGUAUUUAUUUAUUUAUUUAUUUAUUUGACAGGCAGAGUAGACAGUGAGAGAGAGACAGAGAGAAAAGUCUUCCUUUUCCAUUGGUUCACCCCACAAUGGCUGCUGCGACUGGCUCACGGCGCUGAUCCGAAGCCAGGAGCCAGGUGCUUCUCCUGGUCUCCCAUGCGGGUGCAGGGCUCAAAGACUUGGGCCAUCCUCCACUGCACUCCCGGGCCACAGCAGAGAGCUGGCCUGGAAGAGGGGCAACUGGGACAGAAUCCGUUGCCCCGACCGGGACUAGAACCCGGUGUGCCAGUGCCGCAGGCAGAGGAUUAGCCUAUUGAGCCACAGCGCCAGCUGUGUUGGGUAUUAUAAGUAAUCUAGAGAUGAUUUGAAGUAUAUGGAAGGAUGUGUGUAGCUUAUGUGCAAAUACUAUGUUACUGUAUGCUUGAAUAAGGGACUUGAGUAUUUGCAGAUUACAGUGUCAUUGGAUCUGGAAACAAAUCCCCUGUGUGUGCCAAGGGAUGGCAUACUUGGUAUGGUUAAGCAGUUAUACUCAACUGCAGGAAGCAUCCAUUCCUCUGUUAUCCACCCCUAAAUGCGAGUGAGCCUAGCUAGUUCUUGUGCCUGGGUCCGUUUGAAUAAUGAAAGGGACUCAAACGUUCAGAGAGAGCAUUGCAGAUAGGAACUAGGACUCAUUGGUGCCAUGUGUACAGAAAAUGAAGAAAAAACACUUUGAGCCAAUCUUUCUCUUAAGACUCUGAAAUUUAUGUCUUGAGACCAAACAUAUCAAAGUUGACUCUGGCCUAAGAUGAAGGACAUCUCUAAUUUUAGUACCCUGUAAAAUCUGAUUCUAUAAAUAUUAUUUAGUUCAGAGCCAGUUUGUAUGCUAGGAUUACAUUUUCUUCUCUCUAGGGCCAGGGUAAUAACCCCUGGGCUCUCAGGAUUCCGGCAUUAAUAGCAACUGGAUCCUCUUUUCUCACACUCCAUCAGUUCCUUAUAAUCGGGUACUUACAAGCUUGCUUCGUGUUUGGGAUGUAGCUUUUUUGCUGCCUUCCUUCCUUCACUCCUUCUUUCCCUCUGUCUCUUUCCCUCUGUCUCUCUCUCUCAUUUUCUCUUGAAAAUAUUUUCAGGGUUUCUAAUUGCUUUUCAUCUUUGUCUUGCAUAAUACGCCUUUAUAUAGUCUCAUUUUUCUGUACUCUCAGUUAUAUUUUAUAUUCUUUGGAAACCCCCUCUGUCCUUUUUUUUCCCCCUUCCCUUUUUUUUUUUCCCCUAAACCUUGCUUUUCCAUUCUGUAGUUUUCAUAUGACCAGAUGCUUUUUCUAGGCCUACUACACAUCUGCCUUCCUAAGCUUUCCCCCUUCUCUUCUCUCGGACUGGAGUCACUGUUCUUAGAAUACUGUCUUUAUCCUGCUGUAUUUUCUCAUUUUACUAGAGUAUACCCUGAAAUAGUUUCAUUAGAAAGGAUGCGUGGGUAGUAGAUCUUGGGAUUUCUUUGGUGUCUAAAAACAUCUUAAUUAUACUCUAGUACUUAUUUUUUUUUUUCUUUAAAGAUUAUUUAUUUUAGAUGCAGAGUGAUGAAGAGGGGGAGAUAGAAAAAAAUCUUCCAUCUGUUGGUUCACUCUACAGAUGGCUACAACAGCCAGGUCUGGGCCAGGCUGAAUCUAGGAGCCAGGAAUUCUGUCCUGGUCUCCCACAUGGGUAGCAGGGGCCCACGUACUUGUGCCAUCGUCUGCUCCCUUCCUAGGUACAUAGCAAGGAGUUGAAUUCAAAGCAGAGCAGCUGGGACUCAGACUGGCACUCCCAUAAUAAGCUGUGGCUGAACUUGCUGUGCCACAAUGCUGCCCCCCCCCCCCCACUUUUGUUUGUUUUUGAAAGGCAAAGAAGUAGAGAUAGACAGACGGAGGUCUCCCUUCCACUGGUUUACUCCUCAGAUACCCCACUAUAACCAGAGCUGGCCAGGCUAAAGGCAGAAGCCAGGAAUUUAGUCUAGGUCUCCCACAUGGAUGGCAAGGGCUUUAGACUUGAGCCAUCGCCUGCUGCUUCCCAGGGUGUUCAUUGGCAGGGAGCUGGAAUCAGAAGUGAAGCCAGGAUCCAAACCUAGGCACUUCUAUAUGAGAUGUGGACAUCUCAAGCUACAUCUUAAAAAUAAAUUUUUUAAAUUUAUUUGAAAGAGUUAGAGAGAAACAGAGAAAGAGAGAGAGAGAGAGACAGAGAGAGAGAGGCCUUCCAUCUUCUGGUUCACUUCCCAAAUGGCCACAAUAGCUGGGGCUGGGCCAGGAGAAGACAGGAGCCAGGAGCUUCAUCCGGAUUUCCCACUUGGGUCCACACCACAUCUGCACUAAAUGCCUGCCGCACCUAGUACUUCUUUGUAGAUAGACUGGGUGUAGAAUUCUGAGUUGAAAGUAAUUCUCUUUAGAAAAUUUGAAAACGUGACUCCAUUGUCUUCCAGCACCCCUGAUGCAGACGAGAAGCUGGUUUAAUUGUCAGUCCUCCGUGGGUGAACUGUUUUCCCAUGCAGAAUCAUCUCUUUUUUAUUCUUGUUUUGAAAUUCCAUGAGGAACUGUGUAGAUGUGGAUCUUUAGCCAUACACAUGGGCCCUUGCUGAACCUUUUGAAUCUGACUUGGGUCUUCCGUACCUCAGUUCCAGGGUAUUCUGCUGGUUGUUAAAUAGAUUUUCCUUUCUGUUUGUUCCUUCUUUCUGGGAUUCUUUGUUAGUCAAAUGGUGUAGCUGUUAGGUUGGCUCUUUAUAAUGGAUAGAUUUCUCUAUUACUUUCAUUUUUAUCCAUAUGCUGUUCUCCUGAGUCUUUCAAUUUUAUUUUGCAGAUCAUUUGCUGAUUUAUUUAUUAUUUUUUUUUCUUUUUUUUUGACAGGCAGAGUGGACAGUGAGAGAGAGAGACAGAGAGAAAGGUCUUCCUUUGCCGUUGGUUCACCCUCCAAUGGCCGCCGCGGCCGGCGCGCUGCGGCCAGCGCACCGCGCUGAUCCGAUGGCAGGAGCCAGGAGCCAGGUGCUUUUCCUGGUCUCCCAUGGGGUGCAGGGCCCAAGCACCUGGGCCAUCCUCCACUGCACUCCCUGGCCACAGCAGAGAGCUGGCCUGGAAGAGGGGCAACCGGGACAGAAUCCGGCGCCCCAACCGGGACUAGAACCUGGUAUGCCGGCGCCGCUAGGCGGAGGAUUAGCCUAGUGAGCCGCGGCGCCGGCCUUUUUUUUAUUAUUAUUAUUUUUGACAGGCAGAGUGGACAGUGAGAGAGAGACAGAGAAAAAGGUCUUCCUUUGCCGUUGGUUCACCCUCCAAUGGCUGCCGCGGCCGGCGCACUGCAGCCAGCGCACCGCGCUGAUCCGAUGGCAGGAGCCAGGAGCCAGGUGCUUCUCCUGGUCUCCCAUGGGGUGCAGGGCCCAAGUUCUUGGGCCAUCCUCCACUGCACCUCCGGGCCACAGCAAAGAGCUGGCCUGGAAGAGGGGCAACCGGGACAGAAUCUGGCGCCCGGACCGUGACUAGAACCCGGUGUGCCGGCGCCGCAAGGUAGAGGAUUAGCCUAUUGAGCCGCGGCGCCGGCCCCAUUUGCUGAUUUCUAAUCUCUUUAAACUCCAGUGAUUUUGAAUUUAUUUUAAAAGUGUUCUUCCCAGUUCUUUGUUGCUUGUUCAUGGUUCCUGUUCCUUUUUUACAUAUUUUGUUUUCUGUUCCUUCUCUUUAAUAUUUUGAUUAUGGUAUUUUUUAAAAAAGAUUUAUUUAUUUAUUUGAAAGGCAGAGUUACAGAGAGGCAGAGGCAAGGAGAGUGAGAGAGAACUCCAUCCGAUGGUGCACUCUCCAGAUGGCCGCAGCAGCCAGAGCUGGGCCGAUCCGAAGCCAGGAGCUUCUUCCAGGUCUCCCACCUGGAUGCAGGGGCCCAAGGACUUGGGCCAUCUUCUACUGCUUUCCCAGGCCAUAGCAGAGAGCUGGAUCGGAUGUGGAGCAGCCAGGACUCAAACUGGCACCCGCAUGGGAUGCCGGCACUGCAGGCAGCACUUUACCCCCUAUGCCGCUUUACCCCCUACGCCGCAGCACCUGCCCCUGAUUAUGGUAUUUUUUAAAAAAAUUUUUUUGUGUCCUUUAAUUACCUUCAUUGUCAUCAGGAAUAUUUUUUUUUUCUCCUGUGUAUGUUUUUCCUGGCUCUUGUCUUUCAUGCUGCUGGGUUUCCUCAUGUGCCUGGUGUACCCUAGCUGUCUAUGCAUGCUUUAGAAGGAAGGACUGGGUAACUGAAAAGUUGGUCUGUUCUGCGUUAGGACUGACAGCUGAGUGGAUGGCCAGCUGAGCCCUGCACUGGGGAGGGAUGCACUGGUUGGCCUGUUUGCUCUAGCAUGAGCCUGUGCUCAUCCCCAGAAGCCUUUGUGCCAUUGGAAUACUUUGCUCGGGUCAGAUCAUACCCACACUGGAAGCUUUGGCCUUCCCCAAGUUGUUUGUUCCUUCAGCUAUCUGGUUUUUUGACUGAGACUUGGUGCCAGGCUCCUGUGAUCUGUGUGCAGUGGGGUAAGCAGAUGGGGUUGCCAACUAGUGCAUUUCCAAGUACAGAUCUUCAAUUAUCCCUGCUGUCUUUAGCCUCAGUUCCUACUCCUGCCCUCCCUUGUACCUGUUGGCACAGAGCCUAGAGCCAUCAGGUGUUCCAAGGGACAGAUUGGCUCUCUGGAUUCUUCAUAGCAUUCCAACAAACACUGUGGCUUCCAGCUUCUGUUAGGUUGCCUGAUGAAGUAUUCUGGGCCAUGGCUGUCUCUGCCUGCCUCGUCCAUCAACACAAUUUGUUGGCUCUUUUAUCCACUAGUGAAUCCCCAACUUUUCUUUCUUUCCUGAUGUUGGAGGUUUAUUACCACUUUUGCCUCUCUCCUCCUCCUCCUCCUCCUCUUCUUCUUCUCCUUCUUCUUCUUCUUCUUCUUCUUCUUCUUCUUCUUCUUUUUAAGAUUUAUUUAUUUAUUUGAAAGGCAGAUUUAGAGAGAGAGAGACUGAGUCUUCCAUCUGCUAGUUCACUCACUCCCCAAAUGGCUGCAAGGGCUGGAGCUGUGCUGAUCCAGGAGCCAGGAGCUUCUUCUGGGUCUCCCACGUGGGUGCAGAGGCUCAAGGACUUGGGCCAUCUUCUACUGCUUUCCCAGGCCAUAGCAGAGAGCUGGAUUGGAAAUGGAGCAGCUGGGACUCGAACCGGCAACCCAUAUGUGAUGCCAGCACUGCAGGCGGCGGCUUUACCCACUACGCCACAGCGCCGGUCCCAAUUGCAUCUCUCUUCUGAGUGUGGUUUUGCAAGCCAUAAAUAGCAAACCUGUAUCUUCAGUAUACCACCUUGAACUGAAAAUCCUGAUGGGAAUUUUGAACUAUUUACCAACUCUGUCUUCAUGGCUGCAGUCUGGUUAGCAUUGCAUACCUAAUAAAUUAUUUCAAUAAAAUAAGGCAAGAGAACUAGAGUAAAUAACUUCAGAUGAAUAAAGAUAUGAUUGCAUGGUUUUUCCUCCCCAGAAAGUCCUGUAUAAUGACAACAGUUUUUUUGAGUAAAGCCUGAAAUAAACUUUUCAAAAUUUAGGAUCUUAAAAUUAGCAUCAAGUUGUGCCUGAUUUCUACAGGAUAUAUUCAGUCUCCUUUCCACUUUACUCAUAGUGCUAUCUACACUUUGGUUCUGAUCAUACGUUGGUCCUAUAAAAGAUCUUUAUAUUAAUGUAAUGAAUUGCUUAAACAUUUCAUCAGCUUUUAAGUAGCACUUGGGUGAAAUAGAAAGACUCAUGGGAUAAUUUAUUCCCCUAGGACAAAGAAGGGAUAAACAAACCUUUUUAGUCUGUGAUAGCAGAAUGGUUUGCUGAAUUUAAAAGCCUUAAUUAUUAUGCUUUAAGCAACAACUUAGUUUGCUUCAGUCUGAUUCCUAGCUUUCAAGUGGAGUUCUUCCUUUGAUACAUCGUGUUGCUAUUUUGGUGCUUGUCAUUUUGCUGUUGCACUUUCCCUCAUCAAAAAACAUUUACUGCUCCCUUUCGUAUAUUCUGUGUGCUGGUGUUGAUAUAUGGGCUGCAGAUACACCCAGGCUUUUGUCUUUUAACUCGGCUGCGCUUUUCCGAGUGUGGAGCAUGGAUAGUGUAAGGGAGUUGAGGUCUAGGUGUUUGAUUUCUCCAUGUACUUUUUUCCUGGCUUUGCUCUGCCUGAGCCUGAGCCUGAGCCUGUGGUGGAGGUACAGGCUCUACUUUCCCAGCUGCUCUUGCGCAGUUGCCCUUCUCCCACUUUUGUACAAGAACGGCAUACUGCUUAUCCAGCGCUGAUCUUUCAGAGUCUGUGGCCCUGGAUGUAAAAAUGGCCAGGGCACCAAACAAAGGACAAUCGAAAAUACUGAUGUUUGCGUUAAGAUAGUGAAUAUCUAAGUAAUACUAUCUCAGUGAAUGACUGGAUAACAGUUGAUUUUGCAGUUCAGGCUUCCAAGGGCAGGGCUUUGGUCUGCCUGGGACACUGUCAUCCGUCAGGAGUGCCUAAGCUGGUUCAGCCAUGGCUGCUGCAGGCAUCUGGGGAGUGAACAGUGAAUGGGAGCUCUGUCUCUCUGUCUCUCUGUUUCUCUCUCUCUCUCUCUGUUGCUGAAAUAAUACAUACAUAAAUAAAAAGUCCUUGGGGCUGGCAUGGUGGUGUGGCAUGUAAAGCCUCUACCUGCAGUACCAGCAUCCCAUAGGGGUGCCAGUUCGAGUCCCGGCUGCUCCUCUGCAGAUCCAGCUCUCUGGUCUGGCCUGGGAAAGCAGUAGAAGAUGGCCCAAGUCCUUGGGCCCCUUUACCCUCAUAGGAGACACAGAAGAUGCUCCUGGCUCCUGGCUUCGGAUUGGCACAGCUCUGGCCAUUGUGGCCAAUUGGAGAGUGAACCAGUGGAUGGAAGACCUAUCUCUCUCUACCUCUAAUUUUCAAAUAAAAAAAUAAAUCUUAAAAAAAAAAUCCUGCAGUCCUGAUACAGUAAUCCCCAAGACCAAGCUGGCUAGCACCAAGCAACUGCUUUUUUAAAAAAAUGGUUUCUGUUAUUUUGAUCUCCACAAAACUGAAUGAAGACCUAAUUGAAUUGUCUAAGUAACUAAUAGAUCUUUAAGUAUAUUUUUGAUGUCAGGUUACUAUUUGCCAUGUAACCCAAAAUAUUUCAGCAGAUUGAGAGAAAGUUGUUAUAUCAAGACUUCCAUUCUCAUCUUUUCAUUUCUGGAAAAAAGAUUUUCACUACUUAGUUAUAAAAACAAAAAAAUAAGGAUAGAAUUAAAUUUUAAUCCUAUUUAAUUUUGGCCAUAAAUAAUGGCCAUGGCAUGGAAAUAUGAACUAAUGGAGGAAGAAACUUUUCACUCAUUUCUUCUUAAAAAUAUUUAUUUAUUUAUUUGAGAGGCAGAAACAGAAUUCCCAUCUGUUGGUUCACUCCCCAAAUGCCUACAAUGGCCAGGGUUAGGCUGACCAAAACUAUGAGCCAGGGGGCUGGCGCCAUGGCUCACUUGGCUGAUCCUCCACCUGCGUCUCCGGCAUCCCAUAUGGGCGCCGGGUUCUAGUCCCGGUUGCUCCUCUUCCAGUCCAGCUCUCUGCUGUGGCCCGGGAAGGCAGUGGAAGAUGGCCCAAGUGCUUGGGCGCCUGCACCCGUGUGGGAGACCGGGAAGAAGCACCUGGCUCCUGGCUUCGGAUCAGCGCAGCGCCGGCAGUAGCGGCCAUUUGGGGAGUAAACCAAUGGAACGAAGACCUUUCUCUCUGUCUCUCUCUCUCUCACUGUCUAUAACUGUCAAAAAACAAAACUAUGAUCCAGGAACUCUAUCCAGGUCUGACAGCAACUCACUCACUUGUGCCAUCACUGCCACCCCCAGGGUCUGCAUUAGCAAAUGCCCAUAUCCCACAUCAGUGUGCAUAGGUUUGAGUGUUGGCUCUGGUUCCUGACUCCAGCUUCCUGCUAAUGCAGACCCAGGUACUUCGAUGUGGGACACACACAUCUUAACUGUUAGGCUAACCUGCUGCCCCAGGAUAGCCUUCUUAAUAAAUGGUACUGGGGGCUGGUGCUGUGGCGUAGUGGGUAAAGUCGCCGCCUGUGACACGGGUAUCACGCGUGGGUGCUGGUUUGUGUCCUGGCUGCUCCACUUCCAGUCCGGCUCCCUGCUAAUGUGCCUGGUUAAGCAGGGGAAGAUGGCUCAAGUGCCUGGGCCCCUGCACUCACUUAGGAGACCCAAAGAAGCUCCCGGCUCCUGGCUUUGGCCUGGCCCAGCCCUGACCAUUGUGACCAUUUGAGUAGUGAAUCAGCAGGUGAAAGAUUUCUCUCUCUCUUUCUCUAUAACUCUGCCUUUUAAAAUAAAUAAAUAUUAAAAAACAAAAACAAAAACAAAAAAACGUUGCUGGAGAAAUUAGAUAUCCAUGUUGGUGGCCGGGAAGGGGGUCGGGUUUGUGUGGGGAAGGAGCAGCCUGACAUAUCUUAAGUAAGUUAAGUAAGCCACAAUGGUUCAUAGCCAUAAAGGAAAACUUGAAACUUCCAGACAAAAAAAAAAAAAAAAAAAAAGGAAAAAAUAUUUGGGGCCCAGGACUAUGCAAAAAAAAAAAAAAAAAGUAUUGGAUUUGAAUUAACUCAAAGUACAUUUAAAUGGAAAGAUUGAAACUAUUCUAGAUCAAAAAAGGAAAACAUGUUUGGGGUCUGUGACUAGGCAAAAAGUUCUUAGAUCUGACACCAAAAGCUUGAUCCAUUAAAGGAAAAAGCAGUUUUUAAAAAUAUUUAUUUAUUUAUUUGAAAAGCAAAGUUGGAGAGGGAGAAACAGGGAGAGAGAUCCCAUCUGCUGGUUCACCCCCCAGAUGGCAGCAACAGGGUUGCAGGUUGGGCUGGGCUGAAGCCAGGCGCCUGGAACUUCCAUUCUGGUCUCCCAUGUGGGUGGCAAGGGCGCAAGCACUGUGCCAUCUGCUGCUUUACUAGGUGGAUUUAGCAGGGAGCUGAAUUGGAAGUGGAACACCUGGGACUCAAACCUGCAGUCAUAUGGGAUGCUGGCAUCACAGGCGGUAGUUUAACCUGCUGGGCCACAGUGCCGGCUCCAAAGGAAAAAACUGAUAAAUUAGAUAACAUCAACAUUAAAAUCUUGUGCUCACAAAAGACCCUGUUAAAAAUAUGAAAAGAUAGGCCAGCGCCGUGGCUCACUAGGCUAAUCCUCCGCCUGCGGCGCCAGCACUUCAGGUUCUAGUCCCUGUCGGGGCGCUGGAUUCUGUCCCGGUUGCCCCUCUUCCAGGCCAGCUCUCUGCUGUGGCCCGGGAGUACAGUGGAGGAUGGCCCAAGUGCUUGGGCCCUGCACCCCAUGGGAGACCAGGAGAAGUACCUGGCUCCUGGCUUUGGAUCAGCGCGGUGCGCCAGCCGCAGUGCGCCGGCCGCGGCGGCCAUUGGAGGGUGAACCAACGGCAAAAAAAGGAAGACCUUUCUCCCUUUCUCUCUGUCUCUCUCUCUCACUGUCCACUCUGCCUGUCAAAAAAUAAUAAAAAAAAAUAUGAAAAGAUAGAAGCUAUAGGCUUGCAAACAUCCUAUCUAGAAUAUAUGAAAAACUCUCAAAACUCAAAUUUUAAAAAACAAUCCAAUUAGAAAAUGGGAAGAACAUGCACAGACGUUUAACCAAAAGUGUUCUAUAAAUGACAGACAAAUAAGCAUGGAUGAGAAGACAUUCAGGGCCGGCGCCACGGCUCACUAGGCUAAUCCUCCGCCUAGCGGCGCCGGCACACCGGGUUCUAGUCCCAGGUCGGGGCGCCGGAUUCUGUCCCGGUUGCCCCUCUUCCAGGCCAGCCCUCUGCUGUGGCCAGGGAGUGCAGUGGAGGAUGGCCCAGGUGCUUGGGCCCUGCACCCCAUGGGAGACCAGGAAAAGCACCUGGCUCCUGGCUCCGGCCAUCGGAUUAGCGCGGUGUGCCGGCCGCAGCGCGCUGGCCGCGGCGGCCAUUGGAGGGUGAACCAACGGCAAAGGAAGACCUUUCUCUCUGUCUCUCUCUCUCACUGUCCACUCUGCCUGUCAAAAAAAAAAAAAAAAAAAAAAAAAAAAAAGACAUUCAGGCUCAUUAGCUGUUAGGGAGUUGCAGAUUAAAAACCAAGAUGAGGGGCUGGCAUUGUACAGUAGGUUAAGAACUGGGACACCAGCACCCAAUACUGAAGUGCCUGGGAUUGAGUUCUAGCUUCUCUGAUUCUGAUCCAGCUUCCUGCUAAUGCCACUCAGUGGGCGAUGGCUCAAGUAUUUGUGUUGCCGCCACCUACUUGAAAGCGGGAUGGAAUUCCUGGCUCCUGACUUGGGCCUCGCCCAGCCCUGGCAAUUGCAAGUAUUCUGCUUUUCCCUCUGUCUGUCACUGUACCUGUCAGGUAGGUAAAUGAAUCUUAAAACAACAGCAGCGGCAAGAUGAGAGGGCAGGAGUUUGCCUAGCGGUUACGACAUCCGUGUCUCAUGCUGGUGCACCUGCUCCAGCUCCUGACUCCAGCCAGUUUGCUGGUGCAGACUCUGGGAGGCAGCAGUGAUGGCUCAAGUGAUUGGGUCCCUGCAGCCAUGUGGGAGACCUAGAUUGAGUUCCCAGGUCCCAGCUUUGGCCUUCCUCGGCCCUGGCUGAUGCAGGCUUUUGGAGAGUGAACCAGCACGUGGGAGCCUUCUCUGUUUCUUGAAUAAAUAAAAAAUUUUUAAAAACAUGAUGAGAUAUCAUCAGAGUAGCUGAAGUCAAGAAUGCUGGCAAGGACUCAGAGAAACUGGAUCAUUCAUACAUUAAUGUAAAAUGAUAAUAGCUAGGGAAAACAGUUUGGCAGUUUCUUAAAAACUGAACAGUACAACCACCAUAUGACUCAGCAGUUAAACUCGUGGAAAUUUAUCCCAGAGAAAUGAAAACUUAGUGCUAUUGGCUGACUUACGUUCUCCCCAGUUCAUAUGAUGAAGCCCAAAUCCCAACAUGAUGAUAUUUGGAUGUGAAGCCUUUGGAAGAUAAUUAGGUUUAGAUGAGAUCAUGAAGGAGGGGCCGCGUGGUGGGAUCAGUGCCGUUGUAAGAAGAGACACUAGAGAGCUUGCUCUCUCCUUCCUUCUCUUCCUCUCUGUGUUUCUUUCUCUUUGCCUACCAUGGAAGGACACAGAAAGACAGCAGUAUGCAAGCCAGGAAGAUAACUCUCCACAGAGCCCUCUGGCACCCUGACCUCACGCUUCCAGCCUCCAGAAGUGUGAAAUAAUUCAUGAUUUCAGGCUUCCUAUUUGUACCUCCCCAGAAGAAAAUCUCUCUGUAUGCUUGAUGAUGGCUCAGUCGUCUUAUGUAGGAGAUUAAGCCUUUCCUGUCACCAUUAGUUGGCUUAAUAUACAAGUCCUUUUGGGGUUACUUAUGUUGUUUAUGUAUAAAUGAAUUUUAGCUAUUUGAUGAAUGUAAAUUAUGUCUGAUGCAAUUUUUUCUAGUUGAUAGAGAAGAACGUAGAGGAAAGAUAUAGGUUAGAAGGGGGCAUUUGGGAAGGUAAGGAAACGGAGAGUUAAGCUUUAAAGGCUACAAAUAGAAGCAGAAUAUGAAGUAUUUUGUUCGUGUCUAUAAACACAAUUUAUGAAUGUUUUGGUAAAUUUUAAGAAGUACUACUGACUGCCUUACUGAGGAAUUUGUUAUGUCUGAAGGUUAGUUAACCUGAAAUAGAUCCCAUUAAUUCAGAUCAAUAUAUGGAACUGACAUUUAGCCUAUUGGUAAAAAUGCCUGCAUCCCCCAUCAGAGCUCUGGGGUUUGAUUCCCAGGUCCAGUUCCUGACUCCAGCUUCCUGCUGAUACAGACCUUGGGAGGCAGCAGGUGAUGGCUCAAGCAAUGAGACUUGGUAGCUGUCUCCACAGCUGUUGUGGGGUUCUCUUGUCUCUUUCCAUCACUUUUUUUUAAUCUCAAUUAAAAAAAAAAAGAUUAAUGGGAAAAUGGCCCAUAGCUUUGAUCUACCAAGUGACUGUAAAAAGUCACUAUAUUAUGUAGAUUUCUCUCUCCAAAGAUGAAAGAAAUUGAGUAUACAAAAUGGUAGUAUUGGGUUACAAAUGUCUUAUGGGGCAAAUAUUUUAAUAUGAAUAAUCUUUUUUAAAAAAGAUUUAUUAUAUUUACUUGAAAGUUACAGAGAGAGAUAGAGAAGAGAGAGGUCUUCCAACUGCUAGUUAACUCCCCAAAUGGCUGCAACGGCUGGAGCUGAGCCAAUCCAAAGUCAGGAGCCAGGAGCUUCUUCUGGGUCUCCCACGUGGGUGCAGGGGCCCAAGGAUUUGGGCCAUCCUCUGCUGCUUUCCCAAAUGCAUUAGCAGGGAGCCGGAUUGGAAGUGGUGCAGCUGGGACUCAAACCAGUGCCCAUAUGAGAUGUUGUUGUUUCAGGCCAGGGCUUUAACCCGCUGUGCCACAGCGCUGGCCCCAAAUAAUUUUGAAUUUAAAGAAAAGCAGAAACAAUUCUGUGGGGAGCAACCCGGACUAGACUAAGUUACUGGAAUUAAGACUUAUUCUAUGCAUCUGCUCUCCCACAAUAUGGCGCUGAGAAGGGAGAAACAGCUUCUACUCAGCUGCCUCCAGUUCAACCAAUAAACUGUAGGAGCUGCUCCUGAUUGGAGGAGAGCAGCGUACUCGGCUUGUGGGUAGCAGAGUUGGGAUUGGUGGAAGAGGACUAUAAAGGAGGAGAGAGACAACAUGCAGGAGGAACAUCUAAGGGGAACAUUUAUCUGAAGGAACACCUGUGCAACCCCCGAGAGAGCCGGCCGGCGGUGUGCCGCUCCCCCGCGGAAGUGGGGAAUGUGGCAGGGGGAACCGCCCUUCCACGGAGGUGGAAGGGACGGUAGCCAACCCGGGAAGAACCAGCAGCAAACCCGGGGAGGGCCGAGCAGACGAAAGAACAGCGCAGGGUCCUGUGUCGUUCCUCCACGAAGACGGGGAGCGACAAAUUCUAAUGUUGUGUGAUUUUUAGAUGAGUAAUCAACUUGACCAUGAGAUUUCAAAUAUGUGAUUUGACUUGUAUCAAGCUCCCUUGCCUUUCUUGGCCUUAUUUUUGCAUUUACUUGUGAGACAAUGACUGAUGGGACAUUGUUUUCUUACCUCCCUAAUAACAAUUCUGAGAGAACUAAAUGACUAUUGAAAGGAAUCUUGGGGCUGGCAUGGUGGCAUAGCAGGUAAGGCUGCUGCCUGCAGCACUGACAUCCCAAAUGGGUGCCAGUUCAAGUCCCAGCUGCGCCACUUCCGAUCCAGCUGCGCCACUUCCGAUCCAGCUGCCUGCUAAUGCUCCUGAGAAAACAGGGGAAGAUGGCCCAAGUACUUGGGCCCCUGAACCCCACGUGGGAGACCUGGAUGAAACUUCUGGCUCUUUGCUUUGGUCUGGCUCAGCCCUGGCUGUUGUGGCCAUUUGGGGAGUAAACCGGCAGACGGAAGAUUUCUGUCUCUCUGCCUCUGCCUCUCUGCAACUUUGCUUUUCAAAUAAAUAAAUCUAAAAAAAAAAAAAAAAAAAAAAAAGAGGGAUAUUAGUUUCCUUAUAAAAUGGUAUGAUGUCCAAAAAUUAAAAAUUUUUGAAUGUCUUUCAAAAUACACAUUAUACUUUUCUAUGUUGGACUCUUGCCUAUUUUAAGAAGUUUUUGUGAUCAGAUUAGUGAAAUGGCAAAUUUCUCCUUUCAAAUCAAUUGUCUAUUUAUUAUUGGCAUAUGCUUAUGAGUUACCUUGGAGUAAUCAAUAUACUUUUUUCUUAGUGAGAGCUGUUUAUAAACCUAUUACACAAAGAUUUUAAAAAUAUACUAGCUCUAUUUAAAUUUUGUCAUAUUGAAUUUAGAAAAUUUCACUUUGUAUAUAAUAAGCAGAUACUGGACAAAGUAUAAAGUUACCCAUUCUUCUUCCCUUCAGUAAGAGGCAUGCAGUAGAGUCAUAGUCACAUUAUCCAAUGUGAAAAAGGCUCCUCUGACAUUUUCGUAGGCGUCUGCAUAAGCAGUCCCUUCACUGUGCACCUGAAGGAGGGACCCCAGGAGAGCAGCACAGUGGAGCUGGGAGUGGCUGCUUGUGGAUGUGCUCAAGAGGGCCACCUGUGACUUUCCCCACUGCGUCCUUAGCAACUGUGGGUCUACAUGGGAUGUCCUUCCUCUGAGCCUCACGGCAGGUGAUGGCCAGCCUAGAUUCAGCAUCAGGCCUCUUCCACUAGGCAGCUAAGAUUGGGACACCCCCUGUGGAAGCUGCCUCGUCUAUAAGUGUCAGGAGGGGUGGAAGUGGGAAGGAUCCCUAGUUCUUAAUUUAAGAUUCUGACUUUGUGUUAAAAAAAAAAGUUAACAUACUCAUUAAGUAUUGCAUUCUAUAAUAAUGAUAAAUACAUUUUUCUUGUUAUAAAGAAUGACAUUUAAAUUUUAAAUGGCUUUGAUGUUGAGUGGUUCAAAAAUAAACUUUCAACUUCCUUACAUGAAAGAUGAUAGAACUAUACUGAGGCAAAGAUCUAGUUUUUAACUCUAAAAUUGAACUUUGGCACACAUUUUUUGGUUUUGUUCUUUUUGAAAGUUUAUUUAUUCGAGAGAGAGGCAGACAAACAGGCAUAGGCAUGCACAGAAUUCUCAGCCACAGUUUCUCCCCCCAAACGCCCACCGUUAUCUGGGAUCAGAUUGGGGCCGAAGAUGGGAGCCAGGCAGUCCAGGUCACCUGUAGGUGGCAGGAGCCCAGUUAUUUGAGCCAUGACCUUUUCCUUCCCAGGUUCUGUCUCAGUAGUCAAGAACUGGAGCUGGGAGUCAAACUCAAGCACUCCAGUGUGGGAUAUGAGCAUCUUAACUGCUCGGCAAAAUAAUCGCUUCCAGUAUCCCAAACUUUUUAAGUUUAAAAAAAAAAACUGUUUAAACUUUUUAAGUUUGGGAUAUUCCAAAGUGCUUAUUUUCUCUCAGGCACCAUAUCUGCAACUUGGGAAAGUAUCUAGUAGCCUAGUAAAUGGAGAAGUAUCCGAUUAAUCAUCCAGUCAAUCAUAUUUUUCUUCUAACAAACUAAACUGUAUUAAAGCUUUAAUAGCACCCAUUUUAAAUAAUCAGUACUUGUCAGAAUAACUUUUUGUUUUUUAAAGAUUUAUUGAUUUAUUUGAAAGGCAGAGUUACAGAGAAGCAGAGGCAGAGAGAGAGAUUGAUUGAGGUCUUCCUUCCGCUGGUUCACUCCCCAAUUGGCUGCAAUGGCUGGAGCUGCACCGAUCAAAAGCCAGGAGCCUCCUUCAGAUCUCCCACGUGGGUGCAGGGGCCCAAGGACUUGGGGCAUCUUCUACUGCUUUCCCAAGCCACAGCAGAGAGCUGGAUUGGAAGUGGGGCAGCUGGGACUCAAAACUGGCAUCCAUAUGGGAUGCCGGCACUGCAAGCCACUGUUCUACCUGCUACUCCACAGUGCUGGCCCCUCCGCAUAACUUUUGAAAAAACUAAUAUGCUGUAAGAAAGCUUCAGAGACACACAGAUGUCUGUGUGCACAAUCAAGAACCUUCUCAUUAAUCUUCAUUUUUGACAAAAUUGCUUAGUGAGUCCUGGUUCCUCCAUUUGGCCUAAGUAAAACACGCACUCUGAAUUGUUGGCAUUUUUGAGAAUGAUCUGCUUAGACCUCUAUGGAAUUUCCUACUCAGCCAGGUGUUAAAAGCUGUCAGAGAUUUUUAUUGCAGACCUGCCUGUGGCAUGGGCUCUCUGUCCUGGCUUGUCAAUAUCUGCCUUUCACUCCUUAAAAGUCUAGGCCUUCCAUAGGUUCUUACUUAAAAAGUGGGCGGACGGGGAUGCUUUGGCCUUCUAAAGUGACUGGACAAAAGCCGAAGCGUAUUAUCACCCUGUGCUGCAAAGCCCUCAGUAUGACAGUGAGACAGUGUAAGAUAUUGAGGAAUAUGAACUUGGGAGUCAGACAAACCAGGAUUCAAACCCUGGCUUUACCUCAUUUGUGCUAUGUAUUUUUAGACAAGGGACUCAACCUGUAUCUCAUAAAAUUAUCUCACGGAUUUAUGAAGAUUAGAUGAAAUAAUGUAUAUAAUACACUUUGCUCUUUAUGUAGCUUGUAAUAAAAGCAAUAAUAAUGGUGGGUAGGAUCAAGUCUUUCUAGUGUGCUUUUGACUUUUUAAAUAUUUAUUUAUUUUUAAUCAGAAAAGAGGAAGUUCCUUCUGCCAGACUGCUGCUAGGUUCCUCAUUGUGUGAAGCUGUGUGAGCCUGGGUAAAAGUUAAUCUGCAAUUGGCUUAAAAUCAGCUUCAUUUCUUGCAUUGGUAGUCGACUUUGGAGUUUCUCCAAGGGGAGGCUGGCUUCCUCUGUGAAAAGCCAGACCUGUAACAUGAAGUAGCAAGAAAAAGCAGUCCUCUUCACCUUUUACGGAAGUGCAGCAUGUGUGGAAAAGCACAAGUGUGCUUGAGAAACAACCUCGCCAGCGUUCCGGAGGCUCCCUCCUGUCACUCUCACUUGUCCUGCUCCUGUCACUACUACCCCUGACAGGCAGAGUUAGACAGUGAGAGAGACAGAGAGAAAGGUCUUCCUUUUUAUGUUGGUUCACCCCCCAAUUGGUCGCUACGGCCGGUGCGUUGCGCCGAUCGAAGCCAGGAGCCAGGUGCUUCUCCUGGUCUCCCAUGGGGUGCAGGGCCCAAGGACUUGGGCCAUCCUCCACUGCCCUCCCGGGCCACAGCCCGGGACUGGAAGAGGAGCAACCGGGACAGAAUCCGGCACCCCGACCGGGAAUAGAACCUGGUGUGCCGGCGCCGCAGGCAGAGGAUUAGCCAAGUGAGCCGUGGCACCUAUCCUUUUUCUUUUUUAAAGAUUUGUUUGUUUAUUUGAAAGGCGGAGUUACAGAAUUAGAGGCGGGUUUGGGGGGUGUCUUCCAUCUGCUGGUUCACUCCCCCAGAUGGCUGCAACCCCUGGAGCUGCACCAAUCUGAAAACAGGGGCCAGGAGCUUAUUCCAGGUCUCCCAACCAGGUGCAGGGCCCAAGGAUUUGGGCCAUCUUCUGCUUUCCAGAGAACUGGAAGAAAAGUGGAGUACCCGGGACUCCAACCAGCACCCAUAUGGGAUGCCAGCACUGUAGACAGCGGCUUUACCUGCUAUGCCACAGCAUUGGCCCCACCACCCCUGACUUCUGAUACAAGUCUGGUUUGGCCUAUUUUCUGUUUUACAUAAAUAGACUCCUAUCUUUCAAAUCUGGCUUCAUCUGCUCAGUGUUGGUUUCUGAGACUCAUCCUGUUUUGUCACAUGUACUUAUACAUCAUUCAUGCUCAUUACUAUGUAGUAUUGCAUUGAAUGAACACACCCCAACUCAUUCAUUCUACUGUUCAUGGGUAUAUUUUAGCCAUUAAAGCUAUGGAUAUUCUAGUACCUGUCUUUUGGUAAACAUAUGUAAGCAUUUCUAUUGGAACAGAAUGACUGGGCCAUAGAUACUCUUAUGUUCAGUUUUCUUGUAUUUUUAAAAAUUUAUUUUUAAUUGAAAAAUAAAAAUUGUAUAUAUGUAUGGUACACAACUGAUGUUUUAAAAUAUGCAUACAUUGUGGAAUGGCUAAAUUCAGCUAAUAAACAUGUUUUGCCUCAUAUACUUAUUUUUUUGUGAUGAGAGCACUUAAAAUUAUUUUCUUAGCAGUUUUCAAGUUUAGAAUAAACUGUUAUUGUAGUCCUCAUGUUAUACAAUAGAUCUCCACACCUUAUUCCUCCUAAUUGAAGUUUUGUAUCCUUUGACCAACAUCUUCCCCAUGUUCAAUUGUAAUAAAUAAUUGCAAUCAGUUUUCCAAAUGAUUCUACCAGUUUGCUUAUUUAUGGCCAAACUCUUGGCAAUUUUAUUAGCAGUGUGAACAGGGUGAUGAGAGGAGGCCCUUCCUCAAAAUAGAGGCACAGGAGGCAGCCACAAAGGGUACCCCCUUAGUGGUCCCAGAGGGCCUGGGGCCGAGGCCAUCCCGGAGAGCAGAUGGGGGCUGAGGACUGAUUUAGGAGGAGCCACACCGCAUUCAGAGUCCAGCAGUUGCUGUGGUGAGGUUCCAUGGGCCUUUCUACAAGGCCCACAAAUGCCAGCAGUGUCUUAGUCCACUUGUACUGCUAUAGCAGAAUAUCUGAGGCUGGGAAAUUAUAAACAGCAGAACUUACUUCUCGUAGUUUUGGACACCAGGAAUUUCAAAAAUCAAUAUUCCACAGGUUAGGUGCCUGGUGAGGUCCUGCUCUAUUGAUGCCCUAUUCAUUGUGACAUUCUCAUCUGGUGGUAGGCAGAAUGGCGAUAAAGGGUGGAUCACUAUGUGAAGCUUUUUUAAUAUAGGCGUUAAGAAGGUUUAUUUAUUUUGAAGGUUUAUUUAUUUAUUUGAAAUUCAGAGUUACACAGAGAAAGGAGAGAGAGAGAGAGAGAGAGAGGUCUUCCAUCUGCUGGUUCACUCCCCAGUUGGCCGUAACGGCCCCAGCUGCGCUGAUCUGAAGCCAGGAGCCAGGAGUUUCUUCCGGGUCCUCCACGUGGGUGCAGGGGCCCAAGGACUUGGGCCAUCUUCUACUGCUUUCCCAGGCCAUAGCAGAGAGUUGGAUCAGAAGUGGAGUAGCCGGGAUUAGAACUGGUGCCUGUAUGGGAUGCUGGUGCUGCCAGUUAACCCGCUUAGCUACAGUGCCAGCCCCUAUUUAUUUAUUUGAAAGUCAAAGUUAGAGAGAGGCAGAGACAGAGACAGAGAGAGGUCUUCCGUUUGAUGGUUCACUUCCCAAGUAGCAGCAAUGACGAGGGUUGACCCAGGCUGAGACCAGUAGCCGUGAGCUUCAUCUGGGUCUCCCAUGUGGGUGGCGGUGUCCUGAGCACUUGAACCAUUGCUCACUGCAUUUUUCAGGCCAUUACCAGGGAGCUGGAUUGGAAGUGGAGCAUCUGGAACACAAACCAGCACCCAUAUGGGAUGCCAGCAUCACAGGUGGUGGCUUUACCCACUACACCACAAUACCAACCCCCGAUAUUUUUGUGGAGUGACAGACAGGGAGAAAGAGAGAGGGAGAGAGUGAGGGAGAAUAUCAUUUCUGCUGGUUCAUUCCCCCAGAUGGUCACAACAGCUGGACUUGGGCCAGGCCAAAGCCAGGAACCAAGAACUCAGUCCAGAUCUCCCACAUGGGUGACAUGAACCCAAGUGCCUGAUGCCUCCCAGAUGCAUUAGCUGGAAACUGAAUUGGAAAUGCAAAUGAGACUUCUCAAUCCCAGGCACACUGAUAGGGGAUGCAGGCAUCCCAAAUGGAGACCCAGUCUGCUGUGCCACAAUGCUUGCCCCAAUACUUGGUAUUUUCCAUCAUCAUCAUUUUAGAAGCUCUGAUGACUGGCUGCCUGCAUGUACUGCGCUUUCUCCACUCGAUCUCCACACCUCCACCCUCCGCUGCUGCUGAUCUUGGACUUGACUCCAAAACUGAGCACUGCUCUGUUGGAUCACUUGUGGGUCUGGUUAAAAUGAAGAUGCUGAUCUUCGAGCAGUGGGCUGAGCUGAGGAUCUGGAGCCCAAACACCUGGACCCAGUGAUGAGCAGCGGGUCUGAGGACCCAGCUCUCUGCUAUGGCUCUGGGAAAGCAGUGGAAGAUGCCCCAAGUCCUUGGGCCCCUGCACCCACGUGGGAGACCUGGAGGAGGCUCCUGGCUCCUGACUUCGGAUCAGCGCAAUUCCGGCUGUUGCGGCCAUUUGUGGAGUGAACUAGCGGAUGGAAGGCCUCUCUCUCUGUCUAUAACUCUGUCUUUCAAAUAAAUCUUAAAAAAAAAAAAAAAGUUCUGAUGAUUGUAGAGAGAUGUCACAUUGUAGUUUCAAUUUGUAUUU